rnacentral:rRNA from 1 species
CGCGCAGGUGAGGAGCGGGGCUAGGGUUAGGGUGGUUUGGAUCCGGAAUUUCGGGGAGGGGAUAUUUAUAGAGGUAGGAGGAGCUAGGAAGCUCCAAAUGAGGUGCGGUUUUCGGACACGUGAUCGUGAUUGAACGCUCUAGAUGAUGAAGAGGGUUUAUGUGGGUUUUGGGCCAAAUUGGAAGGGGGGUUGGGCUGCAACACACACGAGGCCUCUUUGGUCCCUUGGUUAACCGUUGGAGCAUCAAACGAAGUCUAAAUGGUACGAAACUUGACAGGCGGUCUACCGGUAGUAAACCAAGGCCGCUUGGCAAGUCUUGGUCCAAUCCGGAAAUGUUUAAUCUCCACACACGAAAAAAAGGUAGAAAUGACCCCCGGAGGAGAACGGAGCGCCGGAAUGCAAAACGGACAACGGGUAAAAUGCUCGAAUGCAUGAGACAAACACGUAUGCAAAUGCAAUGCACAUGAUGACAUGAUAUGAGAUGCAUGACAACGAGAACAACACACGGGGACAAACACCCGAACCCGAGAAAAUAAAAUAACUUAAGGCCGGAAACGGCAAGAGUUGGAGUACAUAUAAGGUAAAUCAUAUCCGGGGUGUUACACUCUCUCUCUCUCUCUGACCGUCCGAUCGAUUUUUGUUUAUUAAUCUUUCUUAUCCAUAAUGAUUAUCCCUCUUUGUUUUAUUGUAUUGUUAGCCAAUUAAAAGUAUUUUAUUGUAGGUGUAUAUUUUUCUGUAUGGUAUAUAUUAUGUGAGUUAUUUCUAACACAUCUUGAUCAUAUUUUUAGAAUAGCUGCUCCUAUAUUUUUUUAGUGCCUGAUGUACUUUGCUUAAAUGUUUCUUGUUGGAAGGAUAAGUUGUAAAUAAUGGAUGAAGAACACCUUUUCGAGCUUAAGCAUUUGAUUUCUGGCGAUGUGGUGUUUUCUCUUUACAGAUGAUCCUUCUGCUUUCUUUUUUAAUAAAUAGAUAAGUUGGAUCCAGUGUGUCUCCAUGUGUGUUUUGGGUGAAUACGCAAUGAAACCAGGGAAAGUGGCCUUUUUGUAUCUUGGUUCUGUUUCUAUUGUUAGUUCCAAAGAUACAUUCACUUAUUGGCGACUUUUAACUCUGUAACAUGUCUAUUCUUAGUGUAGAUAUUAUUUUUAUUCUAGCUGCAUUGCUGUGAGCGAGCAGAUUUCUUAUGGGGAAUGGUGAUGAUUGCUUGAGCUUUCAUUUUGAUCCCCUUUGUAUCCCAAACAUAGUUUUCGCACAGUCGAUGUAUGUACUGGUUCCGGAUACUCCAUGUAGCGGUUUUUGUUUGUGUUAUUCAUAUAAGUACUAGAUUCCCGUACAAAACAGAGAUGAACUGCACUAUAUGUUUACUGAUCUGUUGGGCCCAAAUAAAGUGUCUUCAUGCUUCACUUUUGGCUACUUUGAUUCUAAUGCACAUAUGUGCAUUCCUUUUUGUCAUUCACUUUGUUAUUCAUUUGAUUUUCCAUUUCUUCAUUUUUAAUGACAAAGCAUGCUUUUUUUUCUUUUCAAAUUAGCUUAAAAUCACAAUCAAAGAGUUAAGUUUUUACUUAAUUUUCAUAAACAACUAUAUAUGGCUUAAGAAAGGUGAAGAGCAAGGCCAAUCAGGAUUUAUGUAUGGUUGGUUUCUUGAUCCAGGAUUGUUAACAAGGUUUAAUAAAGGUUCGUGUAAAGUGCCACCUGUGAAGUUGAUUGACAAGGCAGUUGAAUGAAGCCACUUAUUAGCACCUUGCUUGCUCUUCUUUCUUUUUGGAGCCAAAAGAUCCAUCAGCGCUCCACUGCUGGGCAAGGCUAUCUCGGUCAUCUUCCGUCUGAUACAUAGGUCAAACCAUGGCUCACACACUCUCUCGCCGAUAUUUCACUUCGCUCCCGUGAAUACAUUGUCUUCUACGCACGGCGGUGCUGCCUUGGAUCGGCCCUCCAUCGCGCCGCUUCAGUCGUCACCAUGCAUCUCAGCUCCAAUAACCAGGUCACGAUGGCUGAUGAUGAGGUCCAGGCUCCGCUGGCUCCACCAACAGCUGUCUGCGAGCACUUGCACAGUUCUUGACAGCCUCCUAGCACACCUUGGGCGCGCUAUUAGAUGGGCCUCUCCUAAUUCACAACUGCUCCUAUGCCUAUCAAGGUUCAUGUGAGGCAGAUGAAUUACGCCACAUGUUAGUAUGCUUAGUGAUUAUGGCUUUGUAGUUGGCUGUCCUUAUGUGUUCUCGCUUUUUGUAUUGAACUUUGUGUUGAAUGGCCGUAUUUUGCGGUUGGCUGAAUGCACCGAGCUUGAUCCUGUCUUAUAUUCUGAUGUUGAUCUUGAGAUCCAUUGUGUUUUACUUCUGUCACAAUUGAAGGUUUCUUUACUUCAUUAU